ensembl:lncRNA
CUUGAACAUCAGGAAGUUCACCGUUCACUUACUGCUGAAGCCUGGCUUGGAGAAUUUUGAGCAUUCCUUUACUAGCAUGUGAGAUGAGUACAAUUGUGUGGUAGUUUGAGCAUUCUUUGGCAUUGCCUUUCUUUGGGAUUGGAAUGAAAACUGACCUUUUCCAGUCCUGUGGCCACUGCUGAGUUUUCCAAAUUUGCUGGCAUAUUGAGUGGAGCACUUUCACAGCAUCGUCUUUCAGGAUUUGAAAUAGCUCAACUGGAAUUCCAUCACCUCCACUAGCUUUGUUUGUAGUGAUGCUUUCUAAAGCCCCCUUGACUUCACAUUCCAGGAUGUCUGGCUCUAGUCUUUCCCAGCAUCAGUGUCUUCCAAUGAGUUGGCUGUUCUCA